UGCAGUAAAUUUACUAUAGUGGAAAUACAUAUUCCCAUUCCGAACAUAACAGUCAAGCACUAUAGGCUUAUUCAAGCCUCAGAAUGAGAGCUUUUUUAAGUAGACUGCAC
ensembl:rRNA 5S_rRNA 5S ribosomal RNA